UUACUAUAUAACUGGUAACGUCAGGCUGUCCGUUUCAGAUAUUUAUUUACAGUUUUUAUAAAAUCAAGUUCAGGAAAAGAUUUGAACUGUUUUCAGAUACAGAUGUGUUCAAUAUUUCAUUUUGUUGCAAAUUGUGAAAUCUAGAUGGUCUAAAUUGUGAAAGUAAUCGGCGACCGAGUUACCGUAGUAAAUGGUGCUCCUUACCUUGUUCUGCAAUCACGGGCCGGUCAUGUGGCGAGGUGAUGACGUCGCCACUUCUAGUAGCUGCCAACCCUGCUGCACGUCCGGCCGUAUUUUAUUGACAUCUGCACAAAGUAGUAUUAUUUAUUCUAGAUAAUUAUUUCCAUUGGUUUAUUUUCUUAUAAAUAAAUCACUUGAGUCACUAGUGAUAUGUUCACGGGAAACAGUAAUGUUUGGUGACGCCUGAGCUGAUUGUGUACAUGAAAUAAAGAUACGAGCAGUACUCACAGUA